GAGUUUGAUCCUGGCUCAGGACGAACGCUGGCGGCGUGCUUAACACAUGCAAGUCGAACGGAGUCUAAAAAUUACCACUGAGAUCUUAGUCAGUGGGCGAGCAGCGUCAUGGACACGAAGUGGCCAUCACGCGUUAAAAAGUGCCAACACAGGGCUGAGGCCUGAGUGGUGAUUUUUAGACUGAGUGGCAAACGGGUGAGUAACACGUAGGCAACCUGCCGACAGGAUGGGGACAACAUUCCGAAAGGAAUGCUAAUACCGAAUGGAGUCCGGAGAUGGCAUCAUCCCUGGAUAAAAGAUGGCCUCUGAAUAUGCUAUCGCCUGUCGAUGGGCCUGCGUCUGAUUAGCCAGUUGGCGGGGUAACGGCCCACCAAAGCGACGAUCAGUAGCCGGUCUGAGAGGAUGAACGGCCAUAUUGGGACUGAGACACGGCCCAGACUCCUACGGGAGGCAGCAGUGGGGAAUCUUCCACAAUGGGCGAAAGCCUGAUGGAGCAACGCCGCGUGAGUGAAGAAGGUCUUCGGAUCGUAAAGCUCUGUUGCACGGGACGAAAACCGAGCUGAAAAUAUUGAGU
rnacentral:rRNA from 1 species